rnacentral:rRNA from 1 species
UACGUAGGCAGCAAGCGUUGUUCGGAAUUCCUGGGCGUAAAGAGUGUGUAGGCGGUGCUCUAAGUCUGUUUUGAAAUCUCCCGGCUUAACUGGGAGGGUGCGGCGGAAACUGGAGUGCUCGAGGGUGGGAGAGGAAAGCGGAAUUCCUGGUGUAGCGGUGAAAUGCGUAGAUAUCAGGAGGAACACCUGCGGUGUAGACAGCUUUCUGGACCACUUCUGACGCUGAGACACGAAAGCGUGGGGAGCGAACAGG